CUGGUACUUUAUAAUUUCGUAUGAUGCUUGGGUUUUAAUGUAAUUACGCGGUGCGCCUGUGCACUUUGUGUUCGAAUAUCACAAUUUAUGGUGACUGCAAUAUCACUUGACUGUUAUAAAGCAGCUCCAGCUGCGUAGCCGUUUACCAAUACAAGCUGUGUUUGCGUUAGCCACUUUUGCUGGAGAGAAAGGGAAUUUGCCCCAAGUAAUAAGCACAAUUUUAUUUUUAUUUUUUUCUUCACAAAGAAAACUUGAAUUCCUCACUUUGAAAAAUAGCAUCAGCAUUAGUUAUGUAGCCUUAAAAAAGACAAUUUAAUGACGUAGUCUGAAACAUGUACACAUAAUACUUAUUAGUUUGAUAUAUAGAGACCUGCGGGGAUCAGUAUACAGUCUGUAAGGCUUCUGUGCUUAUUUUAUGGAGAGUGCUGGGCUCAAUGCUCAGUCUAUACUGGGUUCAGUGCCCAGUCUAUAGAGAGUUCCUGGGUUCAGUACUCUGUCUAUGGAGAGCUCCUGGGUUCAGUACUCUGUAGAAAACUCCUGGGUUCAGUACUCUGUCUGUAGAAAACGCCUGGGUUCAGUACCCCGUCUAUGGAGUGCUCCUGGGUUCAGUACCCUGUCUGUAGAACACUCCUGGGUUCAGUACUCUGUCUAUGGAGAGCUCCUGGGUUCAGUACUUUGUAGAAAACUCCUGGGUUCAGUACUCUGUCUAUGGAGAGCUCAUGGGUUCAGUACUCUAUCCAUGGAGAGCUCCUGGGUUCAGUGCUCUGUCUAUGGAGUGCUAGAGCAUUCAGAGCUUAAUUAAUAGAGAGCUGCAGAGGUCAGCGCUCAGUGUGUGCAAAGCUGCAGAGGUCAGCGCUCAGUGUGUGCAAAGCUGCAGAGGUCAGCGCUCACUCAGUGCAAAGCUGCAGAGCUCAGUGUUGAGUAUAUGGAGAGCUGCAGUGUUCAAGGUUCCAUCUGUGGAGUUCUGUAGGGAGUUGUAUGUGCUCUAUAGUGAGUUGCAAGGUUCAGUGUUCCACAUAUAGAGAGCUGCCGCAUUAGGGGUUCAGUGUUCCACAUAUGGAGAGCUGCCGCGUUAGGGGUUCAGUGUUCCACAUAUGGAGAGCUGCCGCGUUAGGGGUUCAGUUGUUGAAUUAAAAGCUUUAAUGUUUCAUCAAUAGGCAUCAUCUGCUGGAUUCAUUUUACGCACUACAGAUAUGUACAAGGUACUCAAGUCUUUAUGAAACUUGCUAUACUAAGUAGCGGACAUCUACCUAUAUUUAUGGAUAUCUGUCAUGGUAGAAAGAGGUUUUCCAGGAGCUUUCCUAUAAAGACUAACAGCUCAUUCCAGGAAUAGGACAUUCUCUCUACAUACAGACCUCGGCUUGAGCAGUAUGGGGCAAAAUCGCAAACAUUGUUGGAUUAGUGCUGACUUUUUGCACAGACAGAGUGGAAAUCUUUGGCUUGUUUGACACUGAGGCUCAGAUGCUUAUCAAACUGACGUGGAGACUUGAUUUGCCAGGUAAUGGCUGAGACAAGCGGUGGAAGAAACACUUUUAUUUCUGGGCGGUGGAAGUGGCUUGUAGUUCUGUCUACUCUAAUACCACUUUAAAAAAAAUCAUGCACCACCCAUUACAAGUUGGGUACACGCCUCCAUGCACUCCGCUGCCCUGACCACCCAAUUGCUUCUCGCAUUGAGGUACAACUGGGAGAUCUUCAGGAAAUGAAUAUGAAAGUUCCCAGCUUUGUUGUUAUGUUUACAUCCAUGUUUAACCCCUUCUACCCAGCAGCUCCAGUACAUUAUCUAAAGGGCAGACUCGAAGAUUACAUUUAGUAGUUAACCCUUUUGUGACCUGAAACCCCAUUACAUUGUCUAGUCUGGAAAUGAAGUCACAUUACAAUAGUCUGCUGCAUUGUGCAGUGCCGACUCUGAAUCCAUCAGACGGACAGCCUGUCUGUCUGUAAAAUAUAAAUGGCAAUAAUAUAUUACUAUACAGCAACCUGCCAAGUAUGUGUUAUUAAUGUUCAUCUUUGUAUCGGGUAGAGAACCUACAUUGAAUUAAUCGCUCACACUUUAUAUGCAAUGUAAAAUGAGCAAAUUCACGUUUUGGUUGAUUAAUGAGCAACAGGAUGGUUAAAAUAUAACAACAACAAAAAAAUUCAGAUUUGUAGCAUAAUAAAUUUGGUGGAAUGAGACCCUGUAUUCUGUCUCCGAUAUAGUUACUUCUGACUUAGACCAUCCUUAUAUUUCUCGUGUGACUUGUCUUACGGACAGGAGGACAAUGUUUUAACAAUGUGCCCAUCAGCAGAGUUAUAACCAUCCAUUUUAUUUAGAGUUCAGAUUUAAUGACUGACGUUUAGUUGUUGUUCAGAUGACUUACUUUGUAUGGAAUCCAAGGAAGGGGAGAAUCAUGGGACAUUGUUGUAAUUUCUUUAUUGUGGUCAUAGGUUGCUUUCUAUAAAACGAUUAGAAGUAGAAUCACUUACAUCUUAAGCAUCUGAUUGCACAUGUGGUUGUUUCUGUAUUCCGUGUGUCUGCUGAACAUUUUCACCGUACCAUUCAAAACGAUUGGAAAUGGCUAUAGUAGACCACCAGUCUGGAGAACAUUUUCACUGUACCAUUCCAAACGAUAGGAAAUGGCUAUAGUAUGCCAUCAGUCUGGAGAGCAUUUUUACCUUACCAUUCCAAACGAUUGGAAUUGGCUUUAGUAUGCCAUCAGUCUGGAGAGCAUUUUUACCAUACCAUUCCAAACGAUUGGAAUUGGCUUUAGUAUACCACCAGUCUGCAGAACAUUUUCACCAUACCAUUCCAAACGAUUGGAAAUGGCUAUAGUAUGCCACCAGUCUGGAGAAGAUUUUUACCUUACCAUUCCAAAUGAUUGGAUAUGACUGUUGUAUGCCACCUGUCUGGAGAACACUUUCUCCUUAAUCCACUGAUUUGCUAACUGAAGGAAAACUGGAUCUACAAAUGUGAUGUUGGAGGAUGUGGACCUGUGAUGAACAAACAAGAUGAACAAACAUGUCAACUAGGGUGGACAGAGGUUGACAAUGAUACCACCUGGUUUGGAGGGAAAGAGCUGGAGGAUUGAGCCUGCUGAUAUUUGGAGAUAGUUAAUUGAGUAUACUAGUUGUUGUGUGGAAAGGGAGACAGACUAUGAUACCUGUGGAGAGGGGAUAGUUGUACCAACUGGUGUGUAGAGAAAGAGGUGGAUAAUAGUUCCAGCUGGUGUGCCGAGAUGGAGCUGGUCAGAAAUAUUCUGCUAAUUGUACCAACCUUACAGUGAUGCCAUCUAUUGUGACAGGAAAGAGCUGGUGGAUGAUAGAAGCUUGGAGUGAGCUGGACAAUAAACCAAAUGACACGAUCAAUUAAAGUUGUCGGGUGCCUGUGUGCUGAAAGGGAGUCAGCUGAUGAUACCAAAGGAUGUGUGGAGAGGGAGACGGCAAUAAAAACUUGCUGAUAUCAUUGGAAAGAGUCGCUAAGAUUGUUGGUGAAUAUGUGGUGAGGGCAUCAGACAAUAAAGGUGCAGGAGUAAGUUACAUCACUCUGUUUCCUGUUUGAACGCAGUCUCUUUAUCUGUUAGUAGAUCUUCAAGGCUUCACUGACUUUUUCUGAAUCUGAAGAAAUGUAAACCUUCCCUAUUCAUAUAACCAACCAGGUACAAAUCUGACUAGAUCCACUAAGGAGGUGUUUGUCAUUGCCGAAACAAAUCUACUGACAUGGUCGCCACAUUGAAAAGAGUCAGGAGACCAAAGUAGAGUGACUCAUCCACAAUGGAUGUCGGGUUAGCUGACUUUCAGCGUAUUUUCAAAUAAUCUCAGUACAUUUCUGGAUACCUGCUUUUCUUGACACUUUUGGCAACCUCAGAUAGGGCCGAUCCCAUGAAUGUAUCACACAGUGUUUUCCCAGCGGCCUGCGACGGUAAAAGAGAACUCUCUGUGUUCCCUCUUGAUCAGUGCCUCUAUUGUCCUUUCGGGGGAGCCAGUAGCAGCAGUGUAGCUGUAUUCCACAUCAAAUUACACUCAGAAGCUUUCACCACCUUGACAGAAAGCCAAACUCGUGUGAUAAGAAGCAAACAGAAUAAUGUUCUUCUGAAUCAAUGAAAUGUCAUUUUGUAAAUGUUUUCCACUUCUUCCAAAUCGAAUAACGUGCGUGCUAUUUUCCUUAAGUGAUUGUUGCUCUGAAGAAAUUAUAUGUCUGUAGAAAUAUUAAUUGUGAUUUAUUUCUGUAUUGGUCGUAGUAUUUAUAUUUAAAUUGUAAAAUGGAGGCAACAGGAUAGUUGUUAUUUUGCCAGGGAACAAGCUGAGCUGGGAUUGGGCAAAAUCAUAUUGCAGUAAGGGUUUUCAGAUAGCUUGUGAGAUAAGAGUAUUUUUUAAUUCAGAAAAUGAAUUGACG